UUACAUAUUUUUUUGUCAAGUGCAACAUUUUGACACAGACACUGGAGCUAGACAUAACAAUCCUACAUUCUGGCAUGGUUGGUUAUACCAAUAUUUAGGUCAGCCUAUGGUUGAAUGUUUUUUUAGACUUCAUUCACUGUAAUAUCUGUUGUAUCGCUAUAUUUUUAUGUGUUUUUGAGUAUUAGCCAGGCCUGUAAUACUUGUGUAUUUAUUUUUACACAUCCUCAAGAAAAC
rnacentral:lncRNA from 1 species